AACGAACGCUGGCGGCAUGCCUAACACAUGCAAGUCGAACGAGACCUUCGGGUCUAGUGGCGCACGGGUGCGUAACGCGUGGGAACCUGCCCUUAGGUUCGGAAUAACUCCCCGAAAGGGGUGCUAAUACCGGAUAAUGUCCUCGGACCAAAGAUUUAUCGCCUUUGGAUGGGCCCGCGUUGGAUUAGCUAGUUGGUAGGGUAAAAGCCUACCAAGGCGACGAUCCAUAGCUGGUCUGAGAGGAUGAUCAGCCACACUGGGACUGAGACACGGCCCAGACUCCUACGGGAGGCAGCAGUGGGGAAUAAUGGACAAUGGGCGAAAGCCUGAUCCAGCAAUGCCGCGUGAGUGAUGAAGGCCUUAGGGUUGUAAAGCUCUUUUACCCGGGAUGAUAAUGACAGUACCGGGAGAAUAAGCUCCGGCUAACUCCGUG
rnacentral:rRNA from 1 species